rnacentral:rRNA from 1 species
AGCGAACGCUGGCGGCAGGCCUAAUACAUGCAAGUCGAACGAAGCCUUCGGGCUUAGUGGCGGACGGGUGAGUAACACGUGGGAACGUACCCUUUGGUUCGGAACAACUCAGGGAAACUUGAGCUAAUACCGAAUGAGCCCCCAUCCUUGAACAAGAUGGGUGGAAAGAUUUAUCGCCAUUGGAGCGGCCCGCGUCUGAUUAGCUAGUUGGUGGGGUAAAGGCCCACAAGGCUACGAUCAGAGCUGGUCUGAGAGGAUGAUCAGCCACACUGGGACUGAGACACGGCCCAGACUCCUACGGGAGGCAGCAGUAGGGAAUCUUGCGCAAUGGGCGAAAGCCUGACGCAGCCAUGCCG